rnacentral:lncRNA from 1 species
UGGACCACCUAGAACUGCCUCCUUCCAAGCGACACUGGGGCUGGCUCCCCAUCUGAGCCGUCUGGAGACCCUGUGGCUGGCAGGCGACGCCGUCCCCCCGCCCAGGGCCAAGGGGGAGCAGGGCUGUGGAGAGCAUGACCCCCUUGUUAAACCACGUCUGCCUUUAUGCCUCGAUACACCACACAGAGAGAUGACGGGAGAUACCACCAAGAUGAGAUGCCAACCCGGGAGAGGCUCUGCAGGUCCCCUGGUGCCCACGUCUACCUGGCUUGUCCCCACAGGUGGGUUUUCUGAGACAAGGGGGCUUUUGGACACAGGUCUGUCCCCAGAGCCAGCCAGCAGCUCCAGAGAAGAGACAGCAGGUGCCCAGGACGAUGCGGCUUAGUUGCCAGGUAACGGUGGUCACCAUAGCAACAGCUGCCUCCUCAGAGGCCGCAGAAGCCUCGGCACCCCCCACCCUGCAGACCGGGGGUGGGGGAGGCAGUGGUGUGGGGCUGCCCCUGCCCACUCGGCCACCCACUUCUGGGGCUUUUCUUUCCCUUCCCCCUCCCACCCUUGCUUCAGGAUCGGGGUGGGCUGUGGGGUGGGGGCCACCACGGCCCAGCCCUGGGAUCUGCUCCUGGCCCUUCCAUGGACUCUCCUGUGCCCCUGCCCUUUUUGGGGCUCAGUGUCCCCAUCUGCCACAUGUGGUGGCAGUCUCUGCUUUUCCCUCCCAUUCACAAGCGUCUCUGGAGCGUCUGCCCCAUGCCAGGCACUGCAUUGGCCAGGGUGCCCCUUGCUGCCUGGCAUAGUGUGGGUUGUGUGAUCGGGGCCCCAGGCUUGUUCGGGUUGCCACGAAACAUCCAAUAUUUGAAAGUGUUCUAUGGACCUCAAAGGGCAAGAGACACCUUAAAAUGUUUGCUGGAUGGCUGUAGGAGGGUAGAGCCCUGGUGGGCACACCUGGUGGUGAGCUUGGAGGCGAGGCUCUGCUGCUCAUGUUCAUGGAGUCCCACGUCCACCAGGCCCUUUGAAUCUCGAGUUUCUGGCUUCAGAUGCCCCCAGGUUUCCAGAAGUCAAGAUUUCUAACAAAUGGACCCAAACCCCAAGCCAGCACCUGGAAGUGGCAGCAACACGGCUGUGUGGACCCCGGUGCUGGGAACCUUCUGGAGGCAGCUGGACACAGGGGCUGCCAGUGUGGAGAGGGACGCUGCUCAUUUUGACAUUUCAUCUGAAUAACGUUCCAAGUGUUCUAAUGAAAGCCUCUGCGCUCCCUUUGAAAUACUAGCAAUUACAAAGAUGAAUAAUUGCAUGAUAAAUAUUAAUUUGCACCAUCGUAAUGAG